UGGGGAAUAUUGGACAAUGGGGGGAACCCUGAUCCAGCCAUGCCGCGUGUGUGAAGAAGGCCUUUUGGUUGUAAAGCACUUUAAGCGAGGAGGAGGCGCUCUAGGCUAAUACCCUAGAUGCGUGGACGUUACUCGCAGAAUAAGCACCGGCUAACUCUGUGCCAGCAGCCGCGGUAAUACAGAGGGUGCGAGCGUUAAUCGGAUUUACUGGGCGUAAAGCGCGCGUAGGUGGCUAAUUAAGUCAAAUGUGAAAUCCCCGAGCUUAACUUGGGAAUUGCAUUCGAUACUGGUUAGCUAGAGUAUGGGAGAGGAUGGUAGAAUUCCAGGUGUAGCGGUGAAAUGCGUAGAGAUCUGGAGGAAUACCGAUGGCGAAGGCAGCCAUCUGGCCUAAUACUGACACUGAGGUGCGAAAGCAUGGGGAGCAAACAGGAUUAGAUACCCUGGUAGUCCAUGCCGUAAACGAUGUCUACUAGCCGUUGGGGCCUUUGAGGCUUUAGUGGCGCAGCUAACGCGAUAAGUAGACCGCCUGGGGAGUACGGUCGCAAGACUA
rnacentral:rRNA from 1 species